rnacentral:rRNA from 1 species
UACGUAGGGGGCUAGCGUUGUCCGGAAUCAUUGGGCGUAAAGCGCGUGUAGGCGGCCCGGUAAGUCCGCUGUGAAAGUCGGGGGCUCAACCCUCGAAAGCCGGUGGAUACUGUCGGGCUCGAGUACGGAAGAGGCGAGUGGAAUUCCUGGUGUAGCGGUGAAAUGCGCAGAUAUCAGGAGGAACACCGAUUGCGAAGGCGGACCUCUGGGCCAGUACUGACGCUGAGGAGCGAAAGCGUGGGUAGCAAACAGG